UGAGGUGCGAAGUGGUUCUGACCUUUUGGUACAGAGAAGUCAUUGAUGCCCGGCUUCCAGGAAAAGCUGCUAGCCAUAACUUAUAGAGAACCGUACCGCAAACCGACACAGGUGGACAGGUAGAGAAUACUAAGGCGCUUGAGAGAACUCGGGUGAAGGAACUAGGCAAAAUGGUACCGUAACUUCGGGAGAAGGUACGCCCUUUCUGGUGAUGGGAUUUACUUUCAGAGCUGGAGAGGGCCGCAGAGACCAGGUGGCUGCGACUGUUUAUUAAAAACACAGCACUCUGCAAAUUCGUAAGAAGACGUAUAGGGUGUGACGCCUGCCCGGUGCCGGAAGGUUAAUUGAUGGGGUUAUCUUCGGAGAAGCUCUUGAUCGAAGCCCCGGUAAACGGCGGCCGUAACUAUAACGGUCCUAAGGUAGCGAAAUUCCUUGUCGGGUAAGUUCCGACCUGCACGAAUGGCGUAACGAUGGCCACACUGUCUCCACCCGAGACUCAGUGAAAUUGAAAUCGCUGUGAAGAUGCAGUGUACCCGCGGCUAGACGGAAAGACCCCGUGAACCUUUACUAUAGUUUUGCACUGGACUUUGAUGAUGACUGUGUAGGAUAGGUGGGAGGCUGUGAAGUGAGGACGCUAGUUCUCAUGGAGCCGCCCUUGAAAUACCACCCUGUUGUUAUUGAGGUUCUAACUUGGUCCAGUAAUCCUGGAUGAGGACAGUGUAUGAUGGGUAGUUUGACUGGGGCGGUCUCCUCCCAAAGAGUAACGGAGGAGCACAAAGGUACCCUCGGUACGGUCGGACAUCGUACCAAGAGUGUAAAGGCAAAAGGGUGCUUGACUGCGAGAGUGACGGCUCGAGCAGGAACGAAAGUUGGUCUUAGUGAUCCGGUGGUUCUGAAUGGAAGGGCCAUCGCUCAACGGAUAAAAGGUACUCCGGGGAUAACAGGCUGAUACCGCCCAAGAGUUCAUAUCGACGGCGGUGUUUGGCACCUCGAUGUCGGCUCAUCACAUCCUGGGGCUGAAGCAGGUCCCAAGGGUAUGGCUGUUCGCCAUUUAAAGUGGUACGCGAGCUGGGUUUAGAACGUCGUGAGACAGUUCGGUCCCUAUCUGCCGUGGGCGUAGGAAAAUUGAGAGGAGCUGCUCCUAGUACGAGAGGACCGGAGUGGACGAACCUCUGGUGCACCGGUUGUCACGCCAGUGGCAUGGCCGGGUAGCUAAGUUCGGACGGGAUAACCGCUGAAAGCAUCUAAGCGGGAAGCCUCCCUCAAGAUGAGUUUUCCCAUGAAGCCCGUUGAAGACUACGACGUUGAUAGGCAAGGUGUGGAAGCGCAGUAAUGCGUGAAGCUAACUUGUACUAAUUGGCUGAUUGUCUUGACCAUAUAAUCUGAG
rnacentral:rRNA from 2 species